rnacentral:piRNA from 1 species
UCGACCUGAACUCAGAAAUCU